CCCAUGAUGCUUUGAGACAGGAACUCGCCCUGAUUUGGGCGGAGAGGCCCCAUGUUUGAAAAGUCCCGGGAGGGCUUUGAGCUUGGGCCGCGUCCCGCCCCCUCCCCCUCCCCUCAUUUCCGGUUCCUGGCCCUGGGAGCCUUAUUGUUUCCGCAGGCCUCUGAGUCAGGGGCUUCUCCUCUGCUUGUGCAGUUUGUCUCUUUUGCACCUGGGUUCCAAUACGCACCAUUGCCAGAGUCGCGCUUGGGUGAUUCCUGGUUCUUUCAGCCUGUGACUUCAGGGCCAGCAGCCAUCAGAUUGCUCACCUCCCAACCCCGGGUGUCACCUGUAGGCACUAAAACCCUGCCAACGUGGUGUUAGAAGUCACGUGUAAGUCAGUUCCUGCUUCCCACAGACCACCUGCAGUCUUAGGACAGGAGACUGAGAGGAUUGCUCCAACCGGGUGACAAGGAUCUUUCUCCUUUCAUUUGGUUAGAGGCCUGCCCUGGACUAGGGCUCCCAAGAAGUGGGAGGAAGGUUUUUUGUCUUUGGGCAGAUGCUGAGUAUGUGGCUCCUACUCUGCCCUCCUCUCCAGACACCAGGUAGGAGGAGCCUCCACAAUGGGAAACCUCACAUCCAAGGAUGACAGAGGAGCUAUUCCAGAGAAAGAAACGCCAGCGUUUUAUAUGUACACCCACUACCGACCUAAGUGCUGCAGAUUUCUGGUAGACUGGAACAGGCUUACCAGAGGUCGUGGUCGAUCUCUGUGGUUUCCACGAGAAGGAUCAUUUGACUUGAGUAAAAUAAUGCACCUGAAGGAGGUCCUGGAAUCUCGUGGCUCUAAAGUGGGGCGAGACGAGUGGAAAGCGUUCAUUGAUUGGCACACAGAAGCUUCCAAAAGGCACCAGGACGCUCAGGAGCAGCGUCAUAGAGAUUCCAUUGUGAAACUGGAAGACAAGAUUCGUGCUUUUGAGUCUUUGAAUCACCCUCCACCACCACAGCAGGUGCCAGGGGGUGUUGGGGAGCCCGUGAGGGCUCAAGAAGUUCCCCAACCUCCAGCUCCAGCCGCUGCCCCUCCGGCGCCAGCUCAGGCCCCAGCCCAGGCCCCAGCCGCUGCCUGUUCCGUUCCUUUAACUCCCCCUCCUUCCUUAACCCCAACGCCUCUUGUAGCCUCAGAUGAUAGAGCCUCCUGGAUUUGUUCUCCCAGACCGAGAGUGGUAGAGUACCCAGAAUGGAGAAGGAAUCCAGGUGAUGGCACUACUUUUAGGCCUAAGGAUUUGUAUGACCUUGCUUACAAGUUCUCAGACAUUGAGAAAGAACCGAAAGAGUUUAAGAAUCAGUUAAGUUUUGUUAUUAAUGUUUUUAAGCCCACCUGGGCAGAUAUGAACAGACUUUUGACAAUCGCAUUGCCCACAGAGGUCAGAGAGCGCCUCUUUGACAUGGCGCUCUGGCCGUUGGAGGAUCCCGGAGAGGGUCCGUACCUGGUUUGGGUCUGGCAGGCUUUACUCAAUGCUGUUGUGUUGGUCUGCCCUAGAAAAUCUGACUGGGGGAAAAUUGUAUCCUGUAAGCAAGAAAUGGACGAGCAACCUAUCAUGUAUUUAGAUCGCUUUACAAAAGUCUUUGAGGAGCACUCUGGCAUUGAUGACCCGGACAAUGGGGCCACGCAAGGGAUGGCAAUUGCUUUUGUCCAAGGCCUCCUCCCCAGAGUUCAAAAACAGCUGCGUACUUUUUGUGUGGGGUGGGAAGGAAAACACAUGUAUGAAUUGGCAGCAAUAGCUCAUUACUACUGGCAGCUGGAGCAGGAGAGGAAGAUGAUCGUCCGGCGAGGCCCUAAGAGACGACGGCCUAAGAAGUCCUUUGACCCUUCUGCAUGCUUUUACUGUAGACAGGUUGGUCACUGGAUAAAGGAGUGCCCUUAUCGGCUCAGACGCCAACUCCAGCUUGGCCAGCUGGCAGCUUCCUUCACGUUCUCCUGAGGGAUGGUCACUCCUUACAGCCCUGACUGGAGGGAGCCUCCAAGCCCAUCCUCUGAGAAAUGGCUCCUCAUUGGGAGAUUGUUUUCUGUCUUUUGUUACAAAAAUUUCACCUUCUGCCUUAAGUUCCUUAAAGGGGAAGAGCUUUCUGUUCCCAGAUUUUAGUAAUGCCUCGCCCAGUGGCUAGGGAUGAAGGGGUGUUCUUUGUAGCCCCUUGGUGCUUGGAGAGAACAGAGUUUGUACCUCUCCUAAGCAGAGGAUCAAAGGGAUAAAAAGCCCAGGCUCACCAUCCCUUUCAGCCAGAAUCUAGGCGGCCUUGAAAACAGAAACUGCUCUCAUGGGCAUGAGACAUGGAAUCUUUUUUUUUUAAUUUUUUAAGAUUUUUAAAGUUUUUUGAGAGUUGGAGUCUUUUUGUGGGGUUUAAAAAAAAAGCAGGAAAUCUUCUGGACUAUCUUGGGGAGGGGUUUUGACCUGUUCUCGUGCUUUUCCCCCGGACCUUGGAAAUACUUGUAUUUUGCCUUAAUUGUAGAUCCUAGUUCUUUGUGUGAUGGGGAGAACCCUUUGGGACCGUUGAUAUCUCUUGCCCAUAAUCUGCGCUCUCAAGGGGAUUCACGGUAAAGGGAGUUGGUGCUGGAUUGGCAGCCUGCCAUACUAGGGCCUGUCUGGCAUGCCUGGUACUCAUUAGGACGAUUGACCCAUUCUGAGCUUACUCUGUUGGAUUGCUGGAAAGGAGAUCUCACAGAGGCCGGGACGGGAGCUGCCUGACUCCAUUGGCCACCGCAGCCUCCUGCCUGCUGGGUCACCAGCCUGGCUGGCUCUUCCAUCCCUUGAACAGUGUGAAGUUCCAUUGUGCCGCUUGACUAUCUUUUAAAAAUCCCAGCGUGUGUCUGGGAUCAGACAGAAUGGAGGGGGAUUUUCUUGUUGUACAAUACUUGUGGGAAGUCAUUCUGUAACUUUCUGACCCAGAGCUGCCAGAACCUGUUCAUUAUUAUCACCUUGAUGGCCUGGUACCCCAACUAACAGUAAAUUCUUUGAGUAUUGCAGGAAAACACCUAAAUGCCUUAUGUGCAUCUCAGUGUCUGUACCCUGAAAUCCAUAUGGAUGGGGGUCAAGGGAUGGAAAAGCCCUUUUUUUAGUUAAAUUUUAUUUUUUAAUCAACAAAAGUCUACCUUCUCUCUCUCCUACCUCCCCUGUUCCCUGUUAAGAAAGAAAGAAAAAUAAAAUCACUGUUCCAAAAUAUGUAUAGAGAAGGAAAACAGAUUCCUGCAUUGGCCACGUCUGUCACCCCUAAAGCCCUUUUGGUCUCUGAUAGCCCAGGGAGACCCAGCUCCAGACAGACCUGAAGAGCAUCUCAUCUCAUCCCCACCUGUCUCGAGACCUCUGCUAGCCACAAAGCUCAUCUUCCUGUAUCCCUGAGGGUCCUUGGAUCUCAGCCAUCUGCCUUGCCAUUGCAUUCUGGGGACGUGGCAGUAUCUUAAUCCUGUAGUUGAGCUGUUUUGUCUCUUCUAAUAAGAAAUCGAGUCUGUCUCAAUUUUCUUUUCUGUAUCCCCAGAUCUCAUUAUGUAGUAAGCACUUAAUAAAGGCAUUUUUCAUUUGUAUCAUUCGCUCAAUAAACCACUUAGCUCUGUUCAGCUU